GUCUCUGUAGUGCAAUGGAUAGCGCGUUGGACUUCUAAUGCAAAAGUCGUAGAUUCGAAUCCUACCUGGGAUG
rnacentral:tRNA from 1 species